rnacentral:rRNA from 1 species
GAUGAACGCUCGCUGUGUGGUAAUACAUGCAUGUUGAACGGGAUGUAGCAAUACAUUCAGUAGCGGAUAGGUGAGUAACACGUACCUAACCUACCUUUAAGACUGGGAUAACUAUUGGAAACAAUAGCUAAUACCGGAUAUAGUUAUUUAUCGCAUGAUGAGUAAUAGAAAGGAGCUUCACAGCUUCACUUAAAAAUGGGGGUGCGGAACAUUAGUUAGUUGGUAGGGUAAUGGCCUACCAAGACGAUGAUGUUUAGCCGGGCCGAGAGGCUGUACGGCCACACUGGGACUGAGAUACGGCCCAGACUCCUACGGGAGGCAGCAGUAAGGAAUUUUCCACAAUGAGCGAAAGCUUGGUGGAGCGACACAGCGUGCAGGAUGAAGUUCUUCGGAAUGUAAACUGCUGUUAUAAGGGAAGAAAAAAUAGAAUAGGAAAUGAUUUUAUCUUGACGGUACCUUAUUAGAAAGCGACGGCAAACUAUGUGCCAGCAGCUGCGGUAAUACAUAGGUCGCAAGCGUUAUCCGGAAUUAUUGGGCGUAAAGCGUCCGUAGGUUUUUUGCUAAGUCUGGAGUUAAAUGCUGAAGCUCAACUUCAGUCCGCUUUGGAUACUGGCAAAAUAGAAUUAUAAAGAGGUUAGCGGAAUUCCUAGUGAAGCGGUGGAAUGCGUAGAUAUUAGGAAGAACACCAAUAGGCGAAGGCAGCUAACUGGUUAUAUAUUGACACUAAGGGACGAAAGCGUGGGGAGCAAACAGG